rnacentral:tRNA from 1 species
GGGCCGUUAGCUCAGUGGUAGAGCACCUGCCUUUUAAGCAGGGAGUCGCAGGUUCGAUUCCUGCACGGCCCA